rnacentral:sRNA from 1 species
CUAUAAAUCAUCUGGGGAUGAAUAAGAAAGUUCGAGUCGCGUAACGCAAGACAACGUGCGAAGUACGACCCGAAAGGUGAGGAACGAAGUGACGAAUAAUCCUUCCUUUACCACCA